rnacentral:rRNA from 1 species
UAGCGAAUAUUAGUAAUGGGCGAAAGCCUGAACUAGCAACGCCGCGUGUGCGAAGAAGGCCUUCGGGUUGUAAAGCACUUUUUGAGAGGAUGAGGAAGGACGGUACUCUCAGAAUAAGUCUCGGCUAACUACGUGCCAGCAGCCGCGGUAACAUGUAGGAGGCGAACGUUAUCCGGAUUUACUGGGCGUAAAGCGCGUGUAGGUGGUUUGGUAAGUAGGGCGUGAAAGCUCCUGGCUCAACCGGGAGAGGCCGUUCUAAACUGCCGAACUAGAGGAUGGUAGAGGGAGGUGGAAUUCCGGGUGUAGCGGUGGAAUGCGCAGAUAUCCGGAGGAACACCAGUGGCGAAAGCGGCCUCCUGGACCAUUCCUGACACUCAGACGCGAAAGCUAGGGUAGCAAACGG